GACGAACGCUGGCGGCGUGCUUAACACAUGCAAGUCGAACGGAAAGGCCCUGCUUUUGUGGGGUGCUCGAGUGGCGAACGGGUGAGUAACACGUGAGUAACCUGCCCUUGACUUUGGGAUAACUUCAGGAAACUGGGGCUAAUACCGGAUAGGAGCUCCUGCUGCAUGGUGGGGGUUGGAAAGUUUCGGCGGUUGGGGAUGGACUCGCGGCUUAUCAGCUUGUUGGUGGGGUAGUGGCUUACCAAGGCUUUGACGGGUAGCCGGCCUGAGAGGGUGACCGGCCACAUUGGGACUGAGAUCCGGCCCAGACUCCUACGGGAGGCAGAAGUGGGGAAUAUUGCACAAUGGGCGGAAGCCUGAUGCAGCAACGCAGCGUGCGGGAUGACGGCCUUCGGGUUGUAAACCGCUUUCGCCUGUGACGAAGCGUGAGUGACGGUAAUGGGUACAGAAGCACCGGCUAACUACGUG
rnacentral:rRNA from 1 species